GAUCUAUUUGAGUCAGUUUUUCUUGGUUCUUGUUUUUUCGGAUAAAGAAAUUUUGAACCCAACUAGAUACUUCAAUUUUUUUGGUUUUUGUUUUGGGUCGGUUCUAGUUUUCGGGUUCACAAGCUAACACGUGGAAGAUAAAAAACUAAUCACAAAUUACAUGUCAAAAUAAAAGCAUGCAAUCGGGAAUUGUUUUGGCUUAGCUGCCGAUCAAGUUUUGGAUGAAGAUGUAAGAUGUCAGCCCUGAACUAGUCGCUGACGUAGUUGCUGAAGCAGAAGUCGUGUUGAGUGGUGAAGACCAUGUGGAGUCAAGGUGCUAAGCUGGAGUCGUGUAGACUUGGAGAGCAAGAGGGAAUCUUGGAGAUAUGGAAAGAGGAAUAAACUUGAGGUUUAUCACUUAAAGGAAGAGGAAUAAAUGCAUUCCAAGAAAAGGAAAGUUGCACUUAAUGUUAUGGAAGAUGUCCAUAUCCAUGUUGCCUUGGGGACUAGGGUUUCACGAACGUGGAAAAAAAUAUAAGAUAGCUAUGGGUCGUCUGUAGAGAGACAUAGACACAUAGGCUCAUCUUAUAGAGAGAGAAAAGCUCUUGAGAGUGUCUUGGUCGUGAUGAAGCAGUUGCCGAAGUACUUGACAGGGAGAGACAAGGUUGGGUAGAUUAGGAAUCCGUAAGUAGCAGCUGUUAGGGUGUUGACAGGUUUUGUAAAGCUGAUAAGCAAGUCUUGUUAUAAAUUGUUUAGGCGAUAUCUAAUAAAGCAUAGUUGGUUGCUUGUAUCCUAUUGUCUCUUUGAUUUAUCUUCUGCAUUACCUUAUUGUGGUGUUAUCUUUGCACUAACAGUUGGUAUC
rnacentral:lncRNA from 1 species